AGAGUUUGAUCAUGGCUCAGGAUGAACGCUAGCGGCAGGCUUAAUACAUGCAAGUCGAGGGGCAUCAAGGUACACGAAAGUGUAUUGUUGGCGACCGGCGGACGGGUGAGUAAUAGGUAGGUAACCUACCUCAUACUGAGGCAUAGCUGGGAGAAAUUCCAGGUAAUUCCUCAUGAGGUUAUAUGACACAUGUGAUAUAAUCAAAGGUAUCGCAAGGUACUGGUAUGAGAUGGGCUUACUGACCAUUAGCUAGUUGGUGAGAUAAGAGCUCACCAAGGCGAAGAUGGUUAGGGGUUUUGAGAGAGAGAUCCCCCACAUUGGAACUGAGAUACGGUCCAGACUCCUACGGGAGGCAGCAGUAGGGAAUAUUGGGCAAUGGGCGGAAGCCUGACCCAGCCAUGCCGCGUGAAGGAAGACGGCCUUAUGGGUUGUAAACUUCUUUACUAUGCGACUAACUAGAUUUACGAGAUAAUUCUAUAGAAUGUAGCAUAGCAAAAAGCACCGGCUAACUCCGUGCCAGCAGCCGCGGUAAUACGGAGGGUGCGAGCGUUAUUCGGAAUUACUGGGUUUAAAGGGUGCGUAGGCGGCUAAGUGAGUUGUCAUUGAAAGGCUACAGCUCAACUGUAGUAGUGGUGGCGAUACUGCUUAGCUAAGAACAUGGGAGGGGUACUUGGAAUGUGUGGUGUAGCGGUGAAAUGCGUAGAUAUCACACAGAACACCAGAGGCGAAGGCGGAGUACUAGACCAUAGUUGACGCUGAGGCACGAAAGCGUGGGGAUCAAACAGGAUUAGAUACCCUGGUAGUCCACGCCCUAAACGAUGAUCACUAGAUAUUGGCGACAAACAGUCAGUGUCCAAGCGAAAGUGAUAAGUGAUCCACCUGGGGACUACGGCCGCAGGUUAAACUCAAAGGAAUUGACGGGGGCCCGCACAGCGGAGGAGCAUGUGUUUA
rnacentral:rRNA from 1 species